GACAGAGGUGCCGAGCGUUAGGCGGAAUCACUGGGCUUAAAGCGUGUGUAGGCGGGCGGGCAAGUACCUUGUGAAAUCCCACGGCUCAACCGUGGAACUGCUGGGUAUACUGCCUGUCUUGAGCCAGCCAGGGGCAGUCGGAACAGACGGUGGAGCGGUGAAAUGCGUAGAUAUCGUCUGGAACGCCAAAGGUGAAAACGGACUGCUGGGGCUGUGCUGACGCUGAGACACGAAAGCCAGGGGAGCGAACGGG
rnacentral:rRNA from 1 species